AUUGAACGCUGGCGGCGUGCUUAACACAUGCAAGUCGAACGGUAACAGGCCCUUCGGGGUGCUGACGAGUGGCGGACGGGUGAGUAAUGCUUAGGAAUCUGCCUAGUAGUGGGGGAUAACCCGGGGAAACUCGGGCUAAUACCGCAUACGCCCUACAGGGGAAAGCGGGGGACUUUCGGGCCUCGCGCUAUUAGAUGAGCCUAAGUCCGAUUAGCUAGUUGGUAGGGUAAUGGCCUACCAAGGCGACGACGGUAGCUGGUCUGAGAGGACGACCAGCCACACUGGGACUGAGACACGGCCCAGACUCCUACGGGAGGCAGC
rnacentral:rRNA from 1 species